GACGGUGUCGGGCUUCCCGUGCUUUGAGGUAUUUUUGUUCACCAGUAACGGACUCCAGUGCUUCUCUAAGCUGUGCAAUCUUUACAUUUAUGGGAUUUAAAUGCUCAUCUUUGGCGAGGUCAUGUUCAUUGGGGAUAUGGCCAACAUGUAUGUAGAAAGAUACAGUCUCUGGUGUCUUGUGAGGAUUAUGAAAGCAGAACUUGUACAUUCCGCCUCUUGGCGCCUUAAAUUCGAAUUUGUCACCAGAUGUUCCCUUUGUUGUAUGCACAGUGUUGCCAGCUGGAGACGUUACAACGAGAUCAAUGCCGGGGUGAUCGGAAUUCCAGAAGAUAUCAUGAUCGAUGACGACGAAGUUGCCGGAGAUGGUGUCGCCCUCGAAGAGCACGAACUCGUAUACACACUCCACGUCGUUGACGGUGACGGAGAGGGCGGCGACGCGGCCGGGGCUGCAGAUCAGGAGUGCCGUGAUGAGAAAAGCCACAGCAAUCGAUCUGAUUCUCCCCUCCAUU
rnacentral:misc_RNA from 1 species